UACAGAGGUCUCAACCGUUGUUCGGAUUCAUUGGGCGUAAAGGGUGCGUAGGCGGUCGGGUAAGUCGGAUGUGAAAUCUCAGGGCUCAACCCUGAAACUGCAUUCGAUACUGCCUGGCUAGGGUACUGGAGAGGAGACUGGAAUUUACGGUGUAGCAGUGAAAUGCGUAGAUAUCAAGUGGAACACCCGUAGCGAAGGCGGCACUCUGGGCCGGAACUGACGCUGAGGAGCGAAAGCGUGGGGAGCAAACAGG
rnacentral:rRNA from 1 species